GGGCUGCUGGGCGGGCUGCCCGGUGCCGGCCUGCCGAGCCUGCUCGGUCGGCGGGUCGGGCGCUUGCCGAUGAUCCUCGUCGGCAGCCUC
rnacentral:tRNA from 1 species